rnacentral:tRNA from 1 species
GAGGGUAUAGCUUAGCCUUAGAGUGCAUGCUUAGCAUGCACAACGUCCUGGGUUCAAUCCCCAGUACCUCCA